UCCCAGACUCCUACGGGAGGCAGCAGUGGGGAAUAUUGGGCAAUGGGCGCAAGCCUGACCCAGCAACGCCGCGUGAAGGAAGAAGGCUUUCGGGUUGUAAACUUCUUUUACCAGGGACGAAGGAAGUGACGGUACCUGGAGAAUAAGCCACGGCUAACUACGUGCCAGCAGCCGCGGUAAUACGUAGGUGGCGAGCGUUGUCCGGAUUUACUGGGUGUAAAGGGCGCGUAGGCGGGAAUGCAAGUCAGAUGUGAAAUCCAUGGGCUUAACCCAUGAACUGCAUUUGAAACUGUAUUUCUUGAGUGUCGGAGAGGUAGACGGAAUUCCUAGUGUAGCGGUGAAAUGCGUAGAUAUUAGGAGGAACACCAGUGGCGAAGGCGGUCUACUGGACGAUAACUGACGCUGAGGCGCGAAAGCGUGGGGAGCAAACAGGAUUAGAUACCCCAGUAC
rnacentral:rRNA from 1 species